rnacentral:rRNA from 1 species
CCUACGGGUGGCAGCAGUGAGGAAUAUUGGUCAAUGGACGAGAGUCUGAACCAGCCAAGUAGCGUGAAGGAUGACUGCCCUAUGGGUUGUAAACUUCUUUUAUAUGGGAAUAAAAUGUUCCACGUGUGGGAUUUUGUAUGUACCAUAUGAAUAAGGAUCGGCUAACUCCGUGCCAGCAGCCGCGGUAAUACGGAGGAUCCGAGCGUUAUCCGGAUUUAUUGGGUUUAAAGGGAGCGUAGGUGGAUUGUUAAGUCAGUUGUGAAAGUUUGUGGCUCAACCGUAAAAUUGCAGGUGAAACUGGCAGUCUUGAGUACAGUAGAGGUGGGCGGAAUUCGUGGUGUAGCGGUGAAAUGCUUAGAUAUCACGAAGAACUCCGAUUGCGAAGGCAGUUCACUGGACUGCAACUGACACUGAGGCUCGAAAGUGUGGGUAUCAAACAGGAUUAGAUACCCCUGUAGUC